GAUUCUCUAGUAUAAUUAGUAUAUUCGACUUCCAAUCGAAAGGUCUUGAGGAUUA
rnacentral:tRNA from 1 species